rnacentral:rRNA from 1 species
AACGAACGCUGGCGGCAUGCCUACACAUGCAAGUCGCACGAGACCUUCGGGUCUAGUGGCGCACGGGUGCGUAACGCGUGGGAACCUGCCCUUAGGUUCGGAAUAACUCCCCGAAAGGGGUGCUAAUACCGGAUAAUGUCUUCGGACCAAAGAUUUAUCGCCUUUGGAUGGGCCCGCGUUGGAUUAGCUAGUUGGUAGGGUAAAAGCCUACCAAGGCGACGAUCCAUAGCUGGUCUGAGAGGAUGAUCAGCCACACUGGGACUGAGACACGGCCCAGACUCCUACGGGAGGCAGCAGUGGGGAAUAUUGGACAAUGGGCGAAAGCCUGAUCCAGCAAUGCCGCGUGAGUGAUGAAGGCCUUAGGGUUGUAAAGCUCUUUUACCCGGGAUGAUAAUGACAGUACCGGGAGAAUAAGCUCCGGCUAACUCCGUG